CCGGUGAUGCCCCGUGUGAGUCAGGGCCAGCAGCAGGUGCUUCGGAUGGGAACUAAAGCUCCCUCCAGAGCUAGCAAAUAAUCUCCCGACUUCAAUGGCUUUGUGCACAGGUGUCCCCACUUCUGACCUGUUAGCCAGAUGGGCUCAAAAGGAGGGUGGAAGAGCAAGGUGAAAGGGCAGUUAUAGCUCACUGGAUGGGAUUUCAUGAGAGUUUAAGGAUGAUCUGAAGACCUGUGGCUCUUACCGUGUUUCUGCUGGUACAGUUGCCCUACAGCUUAUAGCCUGGUGCCUGGAUCCCUUGGUGCCAAUGGGCCCUUUGCGAUUCCUAGAUACAGACCCAGAAGAGCCGGUGCUCUUGGAUGAGCGUGUCUUAGUCUACAACAGGAUGUUCCCUUAGACUCCACUGCUUGAGCUUGGGAGCAUGUAAAGAGAUAGAGCUGAGCUGCUUCAUUGUAACAUGGAAGCUGAA
rnacentral:lncRNA from 1 species